UACGAAGGGGGCUAGCGUUGCUCGGAAUCACUGGGCGUAAAGGGUGCGUAGGCGGGUUUUUAAGUCAGGGGUGAAAUCCUGGAGCUCAACUCCAGAACUGCCUUUGAUACUGAAGAUCUUGAGUUCGGGAGAGGUGAGUGGAACUCCGAGUGUAGAGGUGAAAUUCGUAGAUAUUCGGGAAGAAACACCAGUGGCGAAGGCGGCUCACUGGCCCGGUACUGACGCUGAGGUGCGAAAGCGUGGGGAGCAAACAGG
rnacentral:rRNA from 1 species